rnacentral:tRNA from 1 species
GCGGGCGUGGCGGAAUUGGUAGACGCACAGGACUUAAAAUCCUGAGAUCUGUUAGAUCGUGGGGGUUCGAUUCCCCCCGCCCGCACCA